CCUACGGGAGGCAGCAGUGGGGAAUCUUAGACAAUGGGCGCAAGCCUGAUCUAGCCAUGCCGCGUGAGUGAUGAAGGCCUUAGGGUCGUAAAGCUCUUUCGCCAGAGAUGAUAAUGACAUAUC
rnacentral:rRNA from 1 species